GCCUGGGUGGCUCAGUCAGUUGAGCGCCAGACUUUGGCUCAGGUCAUGACCUCACAGUUUGUGGGUUCAAGCCCUGCGUCGGGCU
rnacentral:tRNA from 1 species